UUUUUUUUUUUUGGCAGAAAAUAAGGAUAUAUUAGUGAAGAUUUGUUCUACAAUUUCGGAAACAUUUGUGCAUCGCCUUAGGAUGUAAAGAAGAAUAUAUUGAGAAUCAAGAAGAACAUCCAGAGGAAAUAAUCCCGUCAAUUUUCUUUUUUGGAUUUAAUUCCUAAUAAUUUUUGGGCGGGAUGAAAAUCAAAGGAAAAUUCAUUUGUGUGGGAUUAUUCCCGCUUGGUGUUUUGGAAUAGCUGUAAAGUUGAACCCUAAAGUCAAUUUAGAGAUGUUAAGAGAUUUAUCUUUUUGGGGAUUAUCAGAGAUCAAAAGAUAUUUAUCUUUUUGGGGGAUUAUCAGAGAUAAAAAAACAACGAGAUGACUGGAGGAAGCAUAAGCACUCUUUGUUCGAGGGAAAGCAGCCCCAUAUUUAACUGGGCUCCCUUGUCUCCUAGACGCAACCCCAUAUUGUCCGAAUCAUGUCAUGAUGAACCGCAUGGAACUGUGUCAAUCCAUUAAUCAGACCAUGCAUGCUCUUAAUAUUCAUGAUAAUGAUAUUGAGAACAUUCAUGAAAACUCUGAUGAUGCGCGUUUGCCAGUGUUCUUUAAUGAUCACGGGGAAUGAAACGGACCAGCAGAAUUUGCAACUUGGAUCGGCGAGAUCACAAGAUCACGAAUAGGAUUGGGGUUUAAGAAUUGGAAAGAGGUUCCUUUGGAAUGCAAAGAAGAUAUUUGAGACUCUGUUCAAGAGAAAGAAAGUCCCACUGGUGAGAUAUAUAGGCCAGACGUGUUUCUGAAGACAUAUAAAGUCACCCCAUAUGAUAAUCCCUCAUCUUCUAAAUCACUGGCAGCUGCAAAAUUAGCAUUGGUGCAGGAGGAAUAUGAUAAAAAUCCUUCAGCACAAAAGUGUUCGGGAACGGACGAUGUUACCAAGGUUAGUGGUGUAUUUGUUGUUACAUGAAUCUUUUUGCUUCUUGAAUUUUUAUAUUGGAUGGUGAUAGUGGUUAAGUUGCUCUUUUACAGUAAUGCUUACUGAUUUGGUUCGCUAUUGUUUUCAGUCUCUUACAAUCACAUUGCCAUACUGUAGUACUGUUGCAUCUGUAGAACUAUGUUUUAUUAGUAAUCGCUGCUUCAAGUAGCCCGCACCAGCACCAAUAUGUACAUUUCAUUAGUUUUUAUAUGGUUGAUGACAUAAGUGCUGGACUGUAUAAGAAAAAUGUAUUAAUAACUGAAGUUUCCCUCUAUGUGUAUACUGUUAUUGUCGCCUUGUGAAUUGCCCGUGACUUUCUAUAUGCACAGUAGUCUAAGAAACGCCCAUGUGUUGCAUUAAUUGUUUAACUGAAUUUCAUGGAAUUUGAAUUUGCUUCUUAAAUAUGGCUGGAUAUUUGGCGCUGAUCGAAAGGGAUACAUACGCGGAAUGGGUGCUGGCGUUUCUAAAUCCCAGUUUCUUGCUUCUGAGUUUAUGAACGCCAGGUUGCAGGAAGAGAAGCACAAUGUGCUGAAAGAGAAGCAGAAAAACGAAGCUUUGAAAGCACAGUUGGAUGCUGAAAGACAGAAAAACAACACUGGAGUACAUGAUCAGAUCUCUAAUAGCUCUUACCAGCAGUUGGGAACAUAAUCGACUCGAAAUUGGCACUUCAGGAUCCUGGUGGUGCUUUUACUGUAUCACAUGCCUUCGAUGACAAGCACUUGUAGCAAUGUGGGAUUUGCAGACCCCAAAAUUCAGAUUAAGGUACAGUUGGAGUGCAGGAAAUGAAGAUACAUUAUUGGAGGUUAAUUGGUGGUCUUUUGGUGCAUGGGAACAUACACUAUGUUGUUUUUUAAAGAAGAUUUUUUCACAUGAAGCUUUUUUUUGUUCUUUACUCCUACAUUUUUUGUGUCUUCAGAAAGAUUUUAACCAUGAUGAUACAAAUUUUAGUUAAUUUAGAUACAUGAAACUUAAAGCAUAAAAAAUGUAUGCAUGUAAAUCCACAAUUUAAUCAUGAAACCACUGAUUAAUGUAACAAAUCAGAAAAACUGUUUAGAUACCCCAAACGUUAUCAAAUUUCAUGUCAUGCCAGACAUUG